GUGUCAGCAGCCGCGGUAAUACGUAGGGUCCAAGCGUUAUCCGGAAUCACUGGGCGUAAAGCGUGCGUAGGCGGGUGUUUGCGUGAGAUGCGAAAUCCGGUGGCUCAACCAUCUGGACUGUAUCUCAUACGGGGCACCUAGAGGACGGCAGAGGCAAGCGGAAUUACUGGUGUAGCAGUGAAAUGCGUAGAUAUCAGUAGGAACACCAAUGGCGAAGGCAGCUUGCUGGGCCACACCUGACGCUAAGGCACGAAAGCGUGGGGAGCGAACAGGAUUAGAUACCCUGGUAGUCC
rnacentral:rRNA from 1 species